UUUGAAAAGCCAGGGGAUGACUUGUGCAUAGGGGUGAAAGGCUAAUCAAACUCGGUGAUAGCUGGUUCUCCUCGAAAGCUAUUUAGGUAGCGCCUCGGACGAAUACCACAGGGGGUAGAGCACUGUUUCGGCUAGGGGGUCAUCCCGACUUACCAAACCGAUGCAAACUCCGAAUACCUACAAGUGCCGAGCAUGGGAGACACACGGCGGGUGCUAACGUCCGUCGUCAAGAGGGAAACAACCCAGACCGCCAGCUAAGGUCCCAAAUCUACGUUAAGUGGGAAACGAUGUGGGAAGGCUCAGACAGCUAGGAGGUUGGCUUAGAAGCAGCCAUCCUUUAA
rnacentral:rRNA from 1 species